rnacentral:misc_RNA from 1 species
UCCGGUUUAACACCGGCAGUCUCGCUAGAGUCCCCACCCGAAGUGCUGGCAACUAGCGAUAGGGGUUGCGCUCGUUAAGGGACUUAACCCGACACUUCACAGCACGAGCUGACGACAGCCAUGCAGCACCUGUGCAUGUUCCACCCGAAGGCGUCACUCCUGUUUCCAGAAGCUAAUCCAUGCAUGUCAAACCCAGGUAAGGUUCUUCGCGUUGCUUCGAAUUAAGCAACAUGCUCCACCGCUUGUGUGAGCCCCCGUCAAUUCCUUUGAGUUUUAGCCUUGCGACCGUACUCCCCAGGCGGCGCACUUAAUGAUUUCUCUACGACCGAGACCGCUUCGAAACGGCCUCGAUCUAGUGCGCAUCGUUUAGGGCGUGGACUAC